rnacentral:sRNA from 1 species
AGAGCCGGGAACCCUGACAGCACUUGGCUGCUGACAAACAACCUGCUCCGUGGAGCGCCUGAAACACCAGUCUUUGGGGCCAGUGCCUCAGUUUCAAUCCAGGUAACCUUUAAAUGAAACUUGCCUAAAAUCUUAGGUCAUACACAGAAGAGACUCCAAUCGACAAGAAGCUGGAAAAGAAUGAUGUUGUCCUUAAACAACCUACAGAAUAUCAUCUAUAACCCGGUAAUCCCGUAUGUUGGCACCAUUCCUGAUCAGCUGGAUCCUGGAAGUUUGAUUGUGAUACGUGGGCAUGUUCCUAGUGACGCGGACAGAUUCCAGGUGGAUCUGCAGAAUGGCAGCAGCGUGAAACCUCGAGCCGAUGUGGCCUUUCAUUUCAAUCCUCGUUUCAAAAGGGCCGGCUGCAUUGUUUGCAAUACCUUGAUAAAUGAGAAAUGGGGACGGGAAGAGAUCACCUAUGACACGCCUUUCAAAAGAGAAAAGUCUUUUGAGAUCGUGAUUAUGGUGCUCAAGGACAAAUUCCAGGUUCCAAAGUCUGGCACGCCCCAGCUUGUGAGUAUUUUUGCCUGGGU